CCUUUCUGACCCAUUGUUGGCCAAACAAUAUUAUCAAAUUGAUGCAUAUGAGUUGUGCCUUCAGGUGGUGGGGUGUAAAAGUGCUGCUGACUUGUCAUAUAAUUGUUGCCCAUGUGAACAGAUUUGCUAGCCACCAUUUGAGGAGAUGGAGAAGCAUUUUUACCUUUGUAAUUAGAUCCUUUAUCUUCUGUGCAGGAAGGGUCUCCCUCAGUUGUCAGCAUGCUUAAACUUGACAAGAUUUUAUCCAGGGAGGACUCCAAUGUCUUGUUCUGAUCCUCUUGCUUGUGAAUAAAAUUGUCAACCAGUGCUCUGAGCUUCUCAACUUCUUCAGCCGAAGCAUAUGUUGAAG
rnacentral:lncRNA from 1 species